rnacentral:rRNA from 1 species
GAUGAACGCUGGCGGCGUGCCUAAUACAUGCAAGUCGAGCGAACGGACGAGAAGCUUGCUUCUCUGAUGUUAGCGGCGGACGGGUGAGUAACACGUGGAUAACCUACCUAUAAGACUGGGAUAACUUCGGGAAACCGGAGCUAAUACCGGAUGAUAUCUUGAACCGCAUGGUUCAAAAGUGAAAGACGGUCUUGCUGUCACUCAUAGAUGGAUCCGCGCUGCAUUAGCUAGUUGGUAAGGUAACGGCUUACCAAGGCAACGAUGCAUAGCCGACCUGAGAGGGUGACCGGCCACACUGGAACUGAGACACGGUCCGGACUCCUACGGGAGGCAGCAGUAGGGAAUCUUCCGCAAUGGGCGAAAGCCUGACGGAGCAACGCCGCGUGAGUGAUGAAGGUCUUCGGAUCGUAAAACUCUGUUAUUAGGGAAGAACAUAUGUGUAAGUAAAUGUGCACAUCUUGACGGUACCUAAUCAGAAAGCCACGGCUAACUACGUG